GAGAUUGAUACGUUUCAUCAUCAAUCAAUUCACUAGACUUUCCAUUUUGGUUAAACCCUUCCUUUUCAAUCUGUGCGAAGACAAUGGAUCAAGCAUUCAAGAUCACGUGGUUCUGCGGCGGCGGCGGCGCCAUCACGGUGAUACUGCUCUGGUGUGUGUUUCAUCCACCGUCGGUAACCUGUAGACGGUGAACACGGUUGUUGUGAUGGUGGUUUAUGGUCUCUGGUCCUCGGUGUUAGCAACGACGGCUAGGGUUUUUAAGCUAGAUAUGAACGACGUUUGUUCCAGUUAGGGUUCCGACGAUCGACAACUUGUGGGUUGCUGAGAUGACAGAGAUGGUGGUUGGAGCUAUAUCAGCUAGGGUUUCCGGCAAAGAAGGAAACGCAGCGGUUACUCAGCGAACCAGGCUUAGACCAUAUCGACGACACUUGAUCAAUGGUGAAUAUGAGCUGGCAAAUAAAGAGAAACUAAGACUUGAGCAGUUACAAAGGCAGGCGAGGAGUGAGGUCUAGCAUGCAACAACACAUGAUCUAGCAACUACUUCAAGAUAUGAGUAAUGGUGGCGGUGGGCAGAAUCCUUCGGUUUCUGGGCAGAGUCCUGCUAACAGGAAUAUGGGUCAGGAUGGUUUGAGACAUGGGAUUUCAAAGGCUCACUUUGCACGCUUAG